rnacentral:rRNA from 1 species
GAUAAACGCUAGCGGCAGGCUUAACACAUGCAAGUCGAGGGGCAGCAUAGAUUGUAGCAAUACAAUUGGUGGCGACUGGCGCACGGGUGCGUAACGCGUAUGCAACCUACCCGUCACAGGGGGAUAAUCCGGAGAAAUCUGGUCUAAUACCCCAUAACAUAUGGAUCGGCAUCGGUUCAUGUUGAAAUUUUCGGAGGUGACGGAUGGGCAUGCGUAGCAUUAGCUUGUUGGUGAGGUAACGGCUCACCAAGGCGACGAUGCUUAGGGGGACUGAGAGGUUUUCCCCCCACACUGGUACUGAGACACGGACCAGACUCCUACGGGAGGCAGCAGUGAGGAAUAUUGGUCAAUGGGCGCAAGCCUGAACCAGCCAUGCCGCGUGCAGGAUGACGGCUCUAUGAGUUGUAAACUGCUUUUGUACGAGGGUAAAGUGGGUUACGUGUAACCUUUAGAAAGUAUCGUACGAAUAAGGAUCGGCUAACUCCGUGCCAGCCGCCGCGGUAA